AUUGAACGCUGGCGGCAGGCCUAACACAUGCAAGUCGAGCGAGCGGCGGACGUGUGAGUAAUGUCUGGGGAUCUGCCCGAUAGAGGGGGAUAACUACUGGAAACGGUAGCUAAUACCGCAUACUAUCGGCUGAGCCCAUAUGGGAUUAGCUAGUAGGUGGGGUAAUGGCUCACCUAGGCGACGAUCCCUAGCUGGUCUGAUAGGAUGAUCAGCCACACUGGAACUGAGACACGGUCCAGACUCCUACGGGAGGCAGCAGUGGGGAAGAUUGCACAAUGGGCGCAAGCCUGAUGCAGCCAUGCCGCGUGUAUGAAGAAGGCCUUAGGGUUGUAAAGCACUUUCAGCGAGGAGGCGUUACCCGCAGAAGAAGCACCGGCUAACUCCGUGCCAGCAGCCGCGGUAAUUC
rnacentral:rRNA from 1 species